GGGGUUGUGGCUCAGUGGUGGAGUGCUUGCCUUGCAUGUGUGAGGCCCUGGGUUCCAUCCCCAGCACCA
rnacentral:tRNA from 1 species